GGCGAGAUGGCCGAGCGGUCUAAGGCGCCAGACUAAGGCUUUCAAGAGUUUGAUAUCUGGUCCGAAAGGGCGUGGGUUCGAAUCCCACUCUCGUCA